rnacentral:rRNA from 1 species
AUUGAACGCUGGCGGCAUGCCUUACACAUGCAAGUCGAACGGUAACAGCACUUCGGUGGCUGACGAGUGGCGAACGGGUGAGUAAUACAUCGGAACGUGCCCGAGAGUGGGGGAUAACGCAGCGAAAGCUGUGCUAAUACCGCAUACGAUCUACGGAUGAAAGCAGGGGACCGCAAGGCCUUGCGCUCAUGGAGCGGCCGAUGGCAGAUUAGGUAGUUGGUGGGAUAAAAGCUUACCAAGCCGACGAUCUGUAGCUGGUCUGAGAGGACGACCAGCCACACUGGGACUGAGACACGGCCCAGACUCCUACGGGAGGCAGCAGUGGGGAAUUUUGGACAAUGGGCGAAAGCCUGAUCCAGCCAUGCCGCGUGCAGGAUGAAGGCCUUCGGGUUGUAAACUGCUUUGUACGGACGAAAGAACUCCUUCUAAUAAAGGGGUUCAUGACGGUACCGUAAGAAUAAGCACCGGCUAACUACGUGCCAGCAGCCGC